rnacentral:piRNA from 1 species
UGGAAGCACGCACAAACCGCCUCC